AUUUCUCUUAUUUUAUAAUAUUGUCCAAUUUUAUUAUUUUCCUAUUAAAAAGGUUACCGUGAUCAUGAAGGCGGUUCCUCCAGGGUGAGGCUCUUCCAUUGCACUACGGUUGGGCUGACCUCUGCGAAUACCCCUAAUGUGGGUAUCUCGGACCACAGAGGUUUGCGUGAUCAUAAAGCGAUAACUCGAGAGGCGAGUCUCAGGCAUCGCUUG